CAGUGCCAGCAAAUCUGCCCAACCCUCCUAAAAUGUCACCUUCUCCAGAGUCUCCCUCAUUGUGGUACCUCUCUCUCCAACGUCUCAUUUCUGUUGCCCUCCCUCCUACUACCAGCCUGUAAUCCCCUCCUCUCCCUUUCUGUCCCUCUUCUUUGUUCCGUGCAUAACUCUGAGGCAUUUCUUUGGCUUAUUCAUGAGACCUGUUCCCACAUAAGGACAUUGGAGCUGAAGAACUUAAACAGAGAACUCUCCUUGGAAAGAGGGAGGUAUUAGGUGGGUCCCAGAAUCCGGAAAGGCUCGGCAAGCUCUGAAGCUACAUAGUCCGGAUCAGCAGAAUGGGUGCUGCCCAGUGAAAGCACCACAACCACGGCCACCCUCGCUCGGGACAAGACCCCAGAAUGUCUACCGUCGUGGCUCCGCACAUUGGCUUCCCCAGCAUGAGGACUCCUCCUCAGCGCGGGCGCUUCUGAAUCCAGUCUUGUGUGCAUCCUGCUGGUGGGACCUGAGUCCCGCUUGUGCAAUGAGCUGCGAAGGAAUGUGAGAAUGUGAGAAGUCGGGGAAUGGCAAGGCUCGUAACGUGAAGAAUUAGCGAGGGGCAGACAAGGGAGUUGGGGAGCCACAGUGGCAAAUGCCUAUACCUGGUCCCCUCCCCUGACACUCACCGGCUGUUCCAUGGUGAGACAGAUCCUGCUGAACUUAGUGUCCGUAUCUGUAAAAUGAUCAGCACCUGGUGAGGGAGGACGAAGAAUCCAUUUUCCCUGAGUCUGGGUUCCAACCAUUGAAAUGCAGUCCAAGGAGCCAAGUGGGGUUCCAGUGUCACCUUUGGAAAUGACAGUGAUCAAUAACGCCAAGUGCAAAGCUCUCUGGUAACUUCUAGAAUGAAGAAUGUGGGGGGCUCCAUACCUCAGUGUAUUGCAUACCUUGCUUGCCGAAUGGAUAUCCCGGGUCCCAGGGCUGGGCAACCUCAGGACGCACCGGUCAUAGACAGAACAGCCUGACCAUGGCUGGCCUUGUUGGGGUGGGAAUCGGGACACAUGAGCUCCCCCUGAGCCCAGGCACCAGCUUUGAACAGCAGGUCGUAAUGCCUUCAGGGAUCCUUCAGCUGGCCCCGUGCCAGCUCAGCCGCAGGGACCCAGAAAGGCAGACCUAGGGGUUGUGUCACUCUAGCAACAUGCCUUCCUGUGUUUGGCACCGGCAGAUGUGAGUGGUAAAGGAACAACAGGGUUCGAAACCAGGCCAGAAGCUACCAGAAGCUACUCUGUGUACAAUUAUUCCAGGCAUCAAAGGUGUAAUUGUACCUGGCAUAUUCUGUUUUCAUUAAUGUCUCAUCAAAAUGGAAGUAUUUUCCUGGCAGGAAUAAACCAUAUGAUGCAGUGCAUACAAUUAUAAA